rnacentral:rRNA from 1 species
AUGAGGUGGUCGUGGGCUCGCCGGAGCUGCUCCUGCCGGGACAGCAGCUCGUCCUGCUGCUGCCGCCCGAAGCGCGCCAGCUUGUGCAUCGCCUCCCUGCUCUCCUCGAGCGCUCCGGCCAGGAAGCCGUGGAGCUCCCCGAGCGCCCGCGUCGCGUUCGCCUGGCCCUCCAGCAGCUCCCGCUGGUUCUCCAGCGACUUGCCGGCGGCGCUCCCGAUCUCCUCCGCGGUGCGCUGCAGGCCCUCCAUCCGCGCCACCAUGGCGUCGCCGACGGCCCUGACCUCCCGCUCGAUCCCCGCCGCCUCCUCCUUCAGCCUCACCAUCUCCUCGCCGAGCCGCGCGUACUCCUCCUCCACCCGCGCCAUGCCGGCGUCGAUCCGGCCCCGCAUCUCCUCCUGCCCUUCCCUGAGGCCCGCCUGCGCCGCCGCGAUCUGCCUCGACUGCUCCGCGAUGGCCGCCGACUGCGCCAGCACGUCGCCGAUCCGGGAUUUGAGGUUGUCGGACGCGGCGGCCAGGUGCUCCGUCUGCGACACGAUCGACGACAUGGAGCCGUGGAGCUUGCUCGACUCCUGCAUGAUCUGGUCCGACCUCUCCUCGAUCGCCGACAGCUUCUCGCUCGCCGCCGCCGCCGCCCGGGUCAGGUCGUUCACCAGCCGCUCCGUGAUCUGCUUGAACGCCUCCGCCCUGCAGAUACGGACACACAACUCGCAGUCAGAUAAAUCAAGAAAAUUCAUCCUUCAUCGGAGGAGGAAGACGAAGACGAUCAUGGUGGGUUGCGUACUGGAGCUGGUGGCAGAGGGUGUUGGUCUCGAGGAAGAACUCGAGGAAGACCUUGUCCUCGUGCUCGGAGAGGCGCUUGCGGCAGUGCACCAUGCGGGAGCGGUCGUCGCAGGGCGGCAGCGGCGGGCGGCCGGAGUCCUGCUGGUAGCAGGCGCUGAGGCGCCACGCGAGCCUGGACUGGCGCUCCUUGUCGGACAUGAUGUGGGCGCAGCUGGCGAAGAGGCCGCGGUACGCCUCGCCCCAGCAGGAGGCCGGGCCGGCGAUCCUGCGCCGCGCGCCAUCCAGCAGCUCCACGCCCCUCGGCCCGCCGCCGCCGCCUUCCAUCGAGAAGUCGACCACCGUCCUCCCGCCGCCGUCGUCCGGCAGCGUCGGCGCGGCGACGGUCUGGCUCGUGGGUUUAGAGGAGGAGGAGAAGAUGCCCCAUGCAGUGGCCGUGGGGCACAGCGACGGCGACAGGAUCGCCACCGCCACGGCGAGAAGGAGAAGAUGGCAUGUGCCUCUCAUCUUGAGAUUGCGUUACCCAGUCUGAACUCGUGA